rnacentral:rRNA from 1 species
UACGUAGGUCCCGAGCGUUGUCCAGAUUUAUUGGGUUUAAAGGGUGCGCAGGCGGUCUGUUAAGUCAGCGGUCAAAGCCCGGGGCUCAACCCCGGCCCGCCGUUGAAACUGGCAGUCUCGAGUUGGAGAGAAGUAUGCGGAAUGCGCGGUGUAGCGGUGAAAUGCAUAGAUAUCGCGCAGAACUCCGAUUGCGAAGGCAGCAUGCCGGCUCCACACUGACGCUGAGGCACGAAAGCGUGGGUAUCGAACAGG